rnacentral:lncRNA from 1 species
AUCCCUCUUCCCCUUACUUGAUACCCAGCUCUCUGUUGAGGUGGCUGACGUUGCUGUCGUACUGACUGAUUACCAGCAGGGAUGGUUACAGCAGCAGCGUGCUGGUAGUAACGAUCCCUACCGUGUCCUCCCUGGGCAUACACAGCACUCGAUUCACCCUCGUUCUUGCGCUGACCGUUCCCGAAUGGCUUCUUCGAUCCUGAUGACGGACAAUUACCUUGAAUCUUCCCCAUUUUCAGCCAACCUUCAAUUCUUUCUCCGGCCACCACAAUGUCUGCAAAGUUGGUUACCGGACAACCCACCAUUCUUUCAGCAAAAACUCCCUGCAGGGUACCCAUAAAGAGAUCAGACAUCUCUC